AUGCCGCAGUUCCGUGCAGUCAGAAGAUGGCUCCAGCGCGUUAAUUUUGCUCCUGUUUCUAGCACGAGAUUUAAGGAGCAAGAUGCACUUCAGUGCUAUUUUUCCUUUCCGAUUUUGCCGUCGUCUCACUUGGUUCAAAACAUCAAACUGAAGCAUAUAUGGAGUUGUAAAGGGUCCGUUAAUAUAGAUGAUAAUCCAAACAACGACUUUGUAACGACCUCAGGAAACGGUGGAGCCAACAGGGUAGAAGGAGCUUGGGCGAGGCAACCAAGUCACGGCUGGGAAGACAGCUCUUUAGGAAAGCCACUCAGCCCAGAUGAGAUCAUGAGUUCAAGCAGGAAGAUCUACUCGGAGCCUACUGCAAUUAUCCAGGCAAAAGGUGAUGGUAGCUCAGACCUGGGUAACAGCCGUCUGACUAUAUAACUAAUAGAACAGAAGAAAUAUAGGGGCGGGGUGGUGUAACAGAGAGGUGUUGAAUAUGAUUCUAGGUUGUUUGGUCUGAGUAACUGGAAGGAGGGAGUUGCUACCAGCUGUGAUGGGGAAGGCUAUGGG
rnacentral:lncRNA from 13 species